rnacentral:rRNA from 1 species
UACGUAGGCAGCAAGCGUUGUUCGGAAUUACUGGGCGUAAAGGGUGCGUAGGCGGCUUUUUAAGUUUGGUGUGAAAUCUCCCGGCUCAACUGGGAGGGUGCGCCGAAUACUGAGAAGCUAGAGUGUGGGAGAGGGAAAGUGGGAAUUCCACGUGUAGCGGUGAAAUGCGUAGAGAUGUGGAGGAACACCCGUGGCUAAAGGCGGCUCUCUAGUACGUGACUGACGCUGAGACGCGAAAGCGUGGGGAGCAAACAGG